GGGGGUUUAGCUCAGUGGUCGAGUGUGUGGUGCUUAGCAUGCUCAGUGUCCUGGGUUCAAUCCCCAGUAACUCCA
rnacentral:tRNA from 1 species